AUAAAGUUGGUUAAAUAACAUAAUAUAAGGUUGUCAACCUUAAGUUGCUAAUAAUUAGUACUUUUUA
rnacentral:tRNA from 1 species